rnacentral:tRNA from 1 species
AGAGAGGUGGAUGAGUGGUUUAAGUCGCACGCCUGGAAAGCGUGUAUACGUUCAUAGCGUAUCGAGGGUUCGAAUCCCUUCCUCUCUG